GACGAACGCUGGCGGCGUGCUUAACACAUGCAAGUCGAACGGAAAGGCCCUGCUUUUGUGGGGUGCUCGAGGGGCGAACGGGUGAGUAACACGUGAGUAACCUGCCUCUGACUCUGGGAUAACGUCAGGAAACUGGGGCUAAUACCGGAUAGGAGCUCCCGCUGCAUGGUGGGUGUUGGAAAGUUUAGGCGGUUGGGGAUGGGCUCGCGGCGCAUCACCUUGUUGGUGGGGUAGUGGCUUAGCAAGGCAUUGACGGGUAGCCGGCCUGAGAGGGUGACCGGCCACAUUGGGACUGGGCUGCGGCCCAGACUCCUCCGGGAGGCAGCAGUGGGGAAUAGUGCACAAUGGGCGGAGGCCUGAUGCAGCCGCGCCGCGUGCGGGAUGACGGCCUUCGGGUUGUAUCCCGCUUCCGCCUGUGACGAAGCGUGAGUGACGGUAAUGGGUAAAGAAGCACCGGCUAACUACGUG
rnacentral:rRNA from 1 species